rnacentral:rRNA from 1 species
UACAGAGGGUGCGAGCGUUGUCCGGAAUCACUGGGCGUAAAGGGCGCGUAGGCGGUCUCUUAAGCGUGUGGUGAAAAGCCCGGGGGCUCAACUCCGGGUCGGCCGUGCGAACUGGGGGGAACUGGAGCUUGUCAGAGGCAGGCGGGAAUUCCGGGGUGUAGCGGUGGAAAUGCGUAGAGAUCCGGAAGAACACCCGGUGGC